CGUAUCCUUCGGGGCAGGGUGAAAAUCCCGACCGACGGUGAUGGCCGGCCUGACUCAAUCAGCGCUGUGCCUUAGUCCGUGACCCGCAGCUCAUCCGUUUUUCGUGAACGGGACUGCGGCUGACCCGGUGCAAUUCCGGGACCGACAGUAUAGUCUGGAUGGGAGAAGGAGAUA
rnacentral:ncRNA from 1 species